GACGAACGCUGGCGGCGUGCCUAACACAUGCAAGUCGAACGGAAAGGCCGAUUUUGGGGGGGACUUGAGUGGCGAACGGGUGAGUAAUACCUGAGUAACCGGCCCGUGACUUGGGGAUAAGUCCAGGAAACGGGGGCUAUUACCGGAACGGAGCUCCGGCGGCAUGGGGGGGGCUGGAAAGUUCCAGCGGUUGGGGAUGGAUUCGCGGCUUAUCAGCGUGUGAGGGGGGGAGUGGCUCACCGAGGCUUUGACGGGUAGCCGGCCUGAGGGAGUGCCCGGCCGCCUAGAGACUGAGAUACGGCCCCGACGCCUACUAGUGGCAGCAGUGGCAAAUCUUGCACCAUGAAUGGGAGCCGGAUGCAGCAACGCCGUGGACGGGAUAACGCCCUUCGGGUUGAGAACCGCUAUCGCUCUUAACGAAGCUUUUUGUGACGGUAGUGGGUGAAGAAGCACCGGCUAACUACGUG
rnacentral:rRNA from 1 species